rnacentral:rRNA from 1 species
GACGAACGCUGGCGGCGUGCCUAAUACAUGUAAGUCAAACGAACUCUGGUAUUGAUUGGUGCUUGCAUCAUGAUUUACAUUUGAGUGAGUGGCGAACUGGUGAGUAACACGUGGGAAACCUGCCCAGAAGCGGGGGAUAACACCUGGAAACAGAUGCUAAUACCGCAUAACAACUUGGACCGCAUGGUCCGAGCUUGAAAGAUGGCUUCGGCUAUC